rnacentral:rRNA from 1 species
GCAAGUCGAGCGAGACGGUUUUGAAAGAUCCUUCGGCUGACUGAUUGACUAGAAAGCGGCGGACGGGUGAGUAACGCGUGAGUAACCUGCCCCAUACACAGGGAUAGCCAUUGGAAACGAUGAUUAAUACCUGAUAAUACUAAAGUAACACAUGUUACUUUGGUCAAAGAUUUAUCGGUAUGGGAUGGACUCGCGUCUGAUUAGCUAGUUGGUAAGGUAACGGCUUACCAAGGCGACGAUCAGUAGCCGACCUGAGAGGGUGAUC